GACUCACGCGGGAAUCUUACCGGGUCCGGACACACUGAGGAUUGACAGACAAAUAURGAAAUUUUAUAUUUCUCAUAUAUAAAGAUGCUAGUUCUUUCAUGAUUAUGUGAUAGGUGGUGCAUGGCCGUUCUUAGUUCGUGGAGUGAUCUGUCUGCUUAAUUGCGUUUCAAUUUUUAUUAUGUAUACGUAUGACCCACGUUUACGCGUGCGAGUCUAGUAUGCUAUCAUUUGAAAGCAACGAACGUGACCGUAUCCUUUUAUUAUAUACGCACGCGUAUAUUUAUUCAUUAAAGGGACCGCUGUUUCUUUUUUUAAACCAGAGGAAGGUUACGGCAAUAACAGGUCUGUGAUGCCCUUCGAUGUUCCGGGCUGCACACGUGCUACAAUGAUUAUUUCAUUAAGUAUCUACUAUACUGCACAUUAUGUGUAUUAAAACCUACCCUGAGAAUGGGCGGGUAAUCAAUUAGAAGUAAUGAUUUCCUUUUUUUUAUACGCAACUAUGUACCGUAUAUUACAUCCCAUAAUAUUUUUUU
rnacentral:rRNA from 1 species